UCUCCGUUGGUGAACCAGCGGAGGGAUCAUUACAGAGUUGCAAAACUCCCAAACCAUUGUGAACGUUACCUAUCCCGUUGCUUCGGCGGGCGGCCCGGGCCCCGCGCCCGGCGCCCCCCGGCCCCCCGUGGGCGCCCGCCGGAGGUAAACCAAACUCUUGAAUUGCAUGGCCUCUCUGAGUCUUCUGUACUGAAUAAGUCAAAACUUUCAACAACGGAUCUCUUGGUUCUG
rnacentral:misc_RNA from 1 species